rnacentral:rRNA from 1 species
UACGGGGGGGGGCAAGCGUUGUUCGGAAUUCCUGGGCGUAAAGGGCUCGUAGGCGGCCAACUAAGUCAGACGUGAAAUCCCUCGGCUUAACCGGGGAACUGCGUCUGAUACUGGAUGGCUUGAGUUCGGGAGAGGGAUGCGGAAUUCCAGGUGUAGCGGUGAAAUGCGUAGAUAUCUGGAGGAACACCGGUGGCGAAGGCGGCAUCCUGGACCGAUACUGACGCUGAGGAGCGAAAGCCAGGGGAGCAAACGGG